rnacentral:rRNA from 1 species
AGUGAACGCUGGCGGUAGGCCUAACACAUGCAAGUCGAACGGCAGCACAGUAAGAGCUUGCUCUUACGGGUGGCGAGUGGCGGACGGGUGAGGAAUACAUCGGAAUCUACUUUUUCGUGGGGGAUAACGUAGGGAAACUUACGCUAAUACCGCAUACGACCUACGGGUGAAAGCAGGGGAUCUUCGGACCUUGCGCGAUUGAAUGAGCCGAUGUCGGAUUAGCUAGUUGGCGGGGUAAAGGCCCACCAAGGCGACGAUCCGUAGCUGGUCUGAGAGGAUGAUCAGCCACACUGGAACUGAGACACGGUCCUGACUCCUACGGGAGGCAGCAGUGGGGAAUAUUGGACAAAGGGCGCAAGCCUGAUCCAGCCAUACCGCGUGGGUGAAGAAGGCCUUCGGGUUGUAAAGCCCUUUUGUUGGGAAAGAAAAGCAGCAGGUUAAUACCCCGCUGUUCUGACGGUACCCAAAGAAUAAGCACCGGCUAACUUCGUG